GCAAGCUUAGCAUCAGGAAUCAAAGCUAAAACGAACGUAACUGUCAGAUCUCAGAUAUGGGCUUUGCUCUCAUGUUAUAGUAUUAUAACUCGAUAGGUCGAUCGAUCUAUCUAUCAAUCAAUCAAAGCAAUAGAUUUUGCAGAGGUAGAAAUGGAGAGAUCAACAACAUCGUGGCUUCGUACUUUGGGUAUUCAGCUAUCGCUUUGCUUUGCUCUCUACAUUGUUCUCAACUUGGGUCAGCCUCAAAAGUUGGUUUACAACGAUAAUGGUAGCCCCUUUGACCUGUACUUUAUAAGCGUUAGAGGUGGCUUUAGAUCACUUCAAGAACAGACCCAUCUUCUCAAACUGAUGGGGAAUGUGGCCAAAGCUUAUGAUUUGAAGUUUGUGGUGAAUAUUAGCGAGCUUGGUGAGGACGAUCCACUCAUGCAGAACGUGACCAGGCUCUCUCCCUUAUUGAAUGUCCCCUGGUAUACCACUGGAGGUUCUAAACAUGAUGGAUUCGGUUGCUUUCUCCAUCAGGUCAAACUACCCCGUGGGAGAAUGUUAGAUAUUCUCAGUUUGAAUACUGCUUCAUUGCAGGACACAGUGGUUGUGGGAUCACCGAGUGGCAAGAGGGGCAAUUUGUCAAAUUGGCUGACAAGGACAUUAAAAGCAACCACAAGUGACUGGCGCGUGGUAGUUGGAUUCCACCCAUUGGUUGCAUGUAAAGAGAAUGAGGAAGAAUUUACUGCAAAACUGAUUAAUGAGCCUCUACACCAUAUAUUCGUGAAGUUUGGAGUGAAUGUUUACCUAAGCCAGCAAGGUUGCUUUAGCUAUGCCCUUCAAGAUAAUGUUGCUUAUAUAGGAAACCCAGGUUUGAUUAAAGAGAACUCCCGUUUGGGUUAUGGCAAUGGAAGAUACCGAAUUAGAACAGAAAUGACUGAUGGGUUUCUUCUCCAUAGACUCGGCUCACUGGAGAUGGUGACCUACUUUGUUACCUCAGCAGGGGAGAUCGUCAAUAAAAUUGUAGUUCAACAAAGGGGCAGACAGGUCAUGUAAAAAUAAAUGUUUGAAUCCAGUACGUAUUUGCUUCCAGUAUUUCCAUUUCGUUUGAGCUUCUUCUCUUGGUUGUCCUUCAAUUCUUCAACAAUUCCUGUAGAAGGCAUUCAAUGUACAGUAAAUUUACCUUUUGGUUGUCAUUGUUCAGCUUGUUACUACAUCUACAGGCCUUGUUCCUUUACCUGUCUUGAAAAGAGGAGAAUCUGAGUCUCACCAUUUCCAACCCCUUCUCCCUAUUUUCUUUCUGUGUUUGGUUUGUGUGUUUGGCAUAUUUUAGAAUCUGAACCUUCAUUGUAACUAAACUGAACCACUAUUUGCCC